GAUGAACGCUGGCGGCGUGCUUAACACAUGCAAGUCGAGCGAACAGACGCGGAGUUUGUGGGUUGCUCGAGUGGCGAGGGGGGGUGUGAAACGUGAGUAACCUGCACUUAACUGAGGGGUAACAUCACGAAACACGGGCUAUUAUCGGGUAUAAUAUCCUGCUGCGUAGGGGUGAUUGGAAAAUUUCGGCGGUUGUGGAUGGACUGGCGGCUUAUCAGCUUGUUGGUGUGGUAGUUGCGUACCAAGGCUUUGACGGGUAGCCGGCCUGAGAGGUGGACCGGCCACAUGGGGACUGAGAUACGGCCCAGACUCGUAUGUGAGGCAGUAGUGGGGAAUAUUGCACAACGGGCGGAAGCCUGAGGCAGCAACGCCGCGUGCGGGAUGACCGCUUUCGGGUUGUAAACCGAUUUGGCAUGUGAUGAAGAGGGAGUGACGGUAACGGGUAAAGAAGCACCGGCUAACUACGUG
rnacentral:rRNA from 1 species